rnacentral:rRNA from 1 species
UGUAAGCGUAUACCAAAGUUGUUGCAGUUAAAACGCUCGUAGUCGGAAUUUGGCAGUUCCGGAUGUGUGCACGUCGUGUGCGCACUUCGCGGGGAUUGCUUUUGUGGUCUUGCGUAGGAUGAGGCACUUUUAUUAGUGAACGUCCUCACGCAACCACUUUUUACUGUGAGAAAAUCAGAGUGCUCAAAGCAGGCAUUUGCCGUGAAUGUAUUAGCACGGAAUAAUAGAAUAGGACUUGGUUCUAUUUUGUUGGUUUGUUGGGACUGAGUAAUGAUUAAGAGGGACAGUUGGGGGCAUUUGUAUUUCGGUGCUAGAGGUGAAAUUCUUAGAUUACCGAAAGACAAACUGCUGCGAAAGCGUCUGCCAAGGAUGUUUUCAUUGA